AUUUGUCUAAGCAUUGUAAUUUGGUUAUUUUAUUGUUUGAUAAAAUUAAAUUUCUGAGAUUUAUCAAAUUGUCAAGUCCUUUGAUAGAUCUUAUACAAUUAUCGGACAAGUUGAUCUCUGCGAGGUUGGUCAAAUUGUCAAGGUUGUUUAUUUCAGCUAGGUCUAUGUUGUAAGUAAGAUCUAAUUUAACGAGUUUAGAUAAAUUGUCAAGGUUUUUAAUCUCACUUAAAAUAUUGAAUGAUAAAUCCAAAUACUGUAUAUUUGGUGGUAAUUUUUUG